rnacentral:lncRNA from 1 species
UUAAAAAAAAAAGUUUAUUUAUUUUAUGUAUAUGCGUAUACUGUCGAUGUCUUCAGACACACAACAGAGGAAGACACUGGAUCCCAUUACAGAUGGUUGUGAGCCACCAUGUGGUUGCUGGGAAUUGAACUCCGGAUCUCUGGAAGAGCAGCCACUGAGCCAUCUCUCCAGCCCCCUCUUUUUUUUUUUUUUCUUUUUGGUAUAAAUAUUUUCACAUCUACCGCCAAUAUUUUAGCCAUACUUUUGACACUUUUUACCAGAUUAAAAGUGACUUUGAAGAUAAUGAGCUUGUUGGGCAUUCAUUCAUUCAUUCAUUCAUUCUGUUUCCAUGUCAAUAACUGCUACUCCACUCCAAGCCACGCCCUCUCCUCUCCAAGCUACGCCCCCUAGUCUGGACUGUCUGAAUACCCAAACGGGCUCUGUUGGACCCACUUCUGACCUCAUAUCACUCCCACCAUUCACUGCCAUGAAACUUAUAUCUUUUCUAAUUUUGACCAAUUUCAUUAAGGCACAGUUCAAAUGUCAUAAACCAUAUCCAUUUUUUAGGGGUUGGAGUGGCUAGUCAGUGGUUAAGAGUGCUGGCGGUCUUUACCAACACCCACAGUUGUAGUGGUUUAUUUUUUAAAAUUUUGUUUAUUCAUUUAAUUUUUGAGAUAGGGUCCCACUAUGUAGCUCUGGCUGUCCUGGAACUCACAGAUACACUCCUCCUCCCUACUCUAUACCUCUAGUGCAAAGAUUGAAGGCAUUGGUCACCAUGCCUGGGUCUACAGUGGAUCGAGUGAGAUUGGUUCCCAUAAACACCUUUGAAUAGUUGGCCCUCAGUUGGUGGAACUGUUUGGGAAGAAUUGGGAAGAGUUAGUCUUUGAGAUUUCAAAAGAUUCAAGGCUUUCCCAGUGUGUUCUCAGAUUCCUGUUUGUGGGUUGGGAUGUGAUCUCUCAGUGGCUGCUGCAGCACCAAGCCGGCCUGUGUUCUGCUAUGUGCCCCGCCAGGAUGGUGAUGCACUCUUAUCCCUCUGAAACUGCAAGCUCCAAAUAAACUCUUCUAUAAGUUGGCUAUGGUAUUUGAUCACAGCAACAGAAAAUUAACUAAUACAACCAUCUGGAAGUCCAAUCUUAGGAAAUCUGGUACCCACUUCUGGCCUUAGAUGGGCACUAGGCGUGCACGGGGUACACAGACAUACAUGCAGGCAAAUGGAUAAAAUUUAAAGCAAUUAUCCAUUUUAACUGUAUGACUCAGUGAGUUUUAAUAAACGUAUAGAUUUAUGUGGGCCAGUGAGAUGGCUCAGCUGGUAAAGGCACUUGCUGUCAACCACCUGAGUUCCAUGCCUGGAAUCCAUGUAUCCAAAGGAGACAACCAACUCCCAUAAAUUGUCCUCUGACAUCUACCCAUGCCCCAAGUAACAUGGAUGUGUGUGUUUUUAAAAUGUGACCAUAGCUGAGGCAUAGAACCUCUUGAUUUUUCUCUGGGCUAUAUGAAGAAAAAAAAAAAAUACAUGAGAAUUCUGAAGGGACAAAAAUUUGUGAGAAACCCUGCACUGUCCACUGGCAGUUUAUCCUUACUGUUCUUCUCGUGACCCAAUAUUAGUCUUCCAUUGUCUUUGAGCUAUACUGCUACAUGUUGUAAUCAAUAAUAAAGAAAAAAUGACUUGUCUGUGGGAAAGUUAAUUCUGUCUUGUCUCAUAGAAAUUCAGUUGCUGUCUACCUGAAGUACAGAAGAAAUCAGUCCU